rnacentral:rRNA from 1 species
AUUGAACGCUGGCGGCAUGCUUUACACAUGCAAGUCGAACGGUAACAGGCCGCAAGGUGCUGACGAGUGGCGAACGGGUGAGUAAUGCAUCGGAACGUGCCCAGUCGUGGGGGAUAACGCAGCGAAAGCUGCGCUAAUACCGCAUACGAUCUGCGGAUGAAAGCGGGGGACCUUCGGGCCUCGCGCGAUUGGAGCGGCCGAUGUCAGAUUAGGUAGUUGGUGGGGUAAAGGCCCACCAAGCCGACGAUCUGUAGCUGGUCUGAGAGGACGACCAGCCACAGUGGGACUGAGACACGGCCCAGACUCCUACGGGAGGCAGCAGUGGGGAAUUUUGGACAAUGGGCGCAAGCCUGAUCCAGCAAUGCCGCGUGCAGGAAGAAGGCCUUCGGGUUGUAGACUGCUUUUGUACGGAACGAAACGGCUCUGGUUAAUACCCGGGGCUAAUGACGGUACCGUAAGAAUAAGCACCGGCUAACUACGUGCCAGCCGCCGCCGUAA